rnacentral:rRNA from 1 species
CAUGUAGGCGGUUUGUUAAGUCUGAUGUGAAAACCCGGGGCUCAAACCCCGGAAGUGCAUUGGAUACUGGCAAACUUGAGUAUGGGAGAGGAAAGUGGAAUUCCGAGUGUAGGAGUGAAAUCCGUAGAUAUUCGGAGGAACACCAGUGGCGAAGGCGGCUUUCUGGACCAAUACUGACGCUGAGAUGCGAAAGCGUGGGGAGCGAACA